UCCGAACCCGGUCGUCAAGCCCGCCAGCGCCGAUGGUACUCGAGGGGCGACCCUCCGGGAGAGUAGGCCAUCGCCAGCC
rnacentral:rRNA from 1 species